rnacentral:lncRNA from 1 species
CAGACUCCGACUUUGAUUUCUGUUUUCUGCUCUGGGAUAGAGCCUGGCACGUUCAUGCAAAUGUCUACCAUCUGCACAGCGGCAGCAGCUCUUUCUGAAGAGGAGUGGUGUCCAUUGUGGAAAGGAGCAGAUGGAAGAGUUGAUAGUGCUCAGUGUUCUCUUAAAGGAGUUUGUGAUUCUGGUCAGAAAUCACACGUUCCUUAUGACCGGGAUAAAGUGCCACUUCACUGAGUCAGGGGAGAAGAAGAAAACACGCUCAAGAGGAGCCAAUAAUGGAAAUCUUAUCAGGAUUUUAAUAUUUUCUUUGCUAAAUUUCACCCUUGAAUCACACCCAUUGCCUCAGAUCCCUCACAUUUUCCAUGUCUAUUUAAAACAGUCCAUCCAAGUGAUUUGUGGCACCCUUGAGCCAAUUUGCAGACUGUCCUGGUGUCUAAAUCCAGGUAUGAUCUGCAUAUGGCGAAUGUGGUGCCUGUGCUCUUUCUGUCCAUGGUCCUUGUAAAAUCAUUGUUAC